GUAGAACUGCAAUUUCCAUUCUUUUAAAUGGGUGAAAAAUGGUAAUAUAACAAUAUAUGAUAUAUAAACCUUAAAUGAAAAAAAUGAUCUAUUGCAGAUAUUUGAUGUAGUUUUCUUUUUUAAAUUAAUCAGAAACCCCACUUCCAUUGUAUUGUCUGACACAUGCUCUCAAUAUAUAAUAAAUGGGAAAUGUCGAUUUUCAAUAAUAGACUUAUAUGCAGGCUGUCGUUCCGGUUAUGUUGUGUAAGUCAACUCUUCAGCCUCAUUCACUGUCCUGGCUUUUAUUUAAAGAAAAAAAAGGCAGUAUUCCCUUUUUAAAUGAGCUUUCAGGAAGUUGCUGAGAAAUGGGGUGGAAUAGGGAACUGUAAUGGCCACUGAAGCACGUGAGAGACCCUCGCAAAAUGAUGUGAAAGGACCAGUUUCUUGAAGUCCAGUGUUUCCACGGCUGGAUACCUGUGUGUCUCCAUAAAAGUCCUGUCACCAAGGACGUUAAAGGCAUUUUAUUCCAGCGUCUUCUAGAGAGCUUAGUGUAUACAGAUGAGGGUGUCCGCUGCUGCUUUCCUUCGGAAUCCAGUGCUUCCACAGAGAUUAGCCUGUAGCUUAUAUUUGACAUUCUUCACUGUCUGUUGUUUACCUACCGUAGCUUUUUACCGUUCACUUCCCCUUCCAACUAUGUCCAGAUGUGCAGGCUGUCCCUGAAACUGAGUCUGUGGACACUGUGGAAAGCUUUGAACAAUUGUGUUUUCGUCACAGGAGUCUUUGUAAUGCUUGUACAGUUGAUGUCGAUGCUCACUGCUUCUGCUUUUUCUUUCUUUUUAUUUUAAAUCUGAAGGUUCUGGUAACCUGUGGUGUAUUUUUAUUUUCCUGUGACUGUUUUUGUUUUGUUUUUUUCCUUUUUCCUCCCCUUUGACCCUAUUCAUGUCUCUACCCACUAUGCACAGAUUAAACUUCACCUACAAACUCCUUAAUAUGAUCUGUGGAGAAUGUACACAGUUUAAACACAUCAAUAAAUACUUUAACUUCC
rnacentral:lncRNA from 1 species